AGCGAACGCUGGCGGCAGGCUUAACACAUGCAAGUCGAGCGGGCAUCUUCGGAUGUCAGCGGCAGACGGGUGAGUAACACGUGGGAACGUACCCUUCGGUUCGGAACAACUCUGGGAAACUGGAGCUAAUACCGGAUACGCCCUUAUGGGGAAAGGUUUACUGCCGAAGGAUCGGCCCGCGUCUGAUUAGCUAGUUGGUGGGGUAACGGCCUACCAAGGCGACGAUCAGUAGCUGGUCUGAGAGGAUGAUCAGCCACACUGGGACUGAGACACGGCCCAGACUCCUACGGGAGGCAGCAGUGGGGAAUAUUGGACAAUGGGUGCAAGCCUGAUCCAGCCAUGCCGCGUGAGUGAUGAAGGCCUUAGGGUUGUAAAGCUCUUUUGUCCGGGACGAUAAUGACGGUACCGGAAGAAUAAGCCCCGGCUAACUUCGUG
rnacentral:rRNA from 1 species